ACCUCCCGCGCCCCGCAGCUGUGCACAGCCAGUCCCCUCCCCUGGGUUGCCUAACAAACUUGCCUGAAGCCCUGCACUGAAAGCAAGGCAGAUCAGAUUCAGACCCCGCGACGUGAUAAGCUCCGCCCACAACGGCAAUAAGCUCCGCCUCCUGGGUAGCCUGCAGCCGUGUUUUCUCACAUUGCCUGAAGCUCUGUCCCCAUGCUAUCUAAACACUCUGCCCCUCGGCUGCUCCACUCCUUUUACAUUGAGGCUGGAGCCACCCCUGCCUUCCCCUGGGAAGCCAGAAGCCCCGCCCAAUGCCUGAUUAGCUCCGCCCCCUGGAAGUUAGCAAUGUGUCCCCUUGAGUAUAUCAGAACUACAACUUAGUGCUGCUCCUUCAGCUGUUGUCAGUCCUGGUCCUUCUACUUCUCUGUUGCUGCAUACAGUUGUGUGGACUUGGAGAAGUAUUCUGCAGCUGUUAUCUGUCACUGGCUACAGAGCGAGACAGAGAAUUAUGGGAAGGCGUAAAGGGAAAGCUCCGCAGGUGGAAUUUAGGGAACAGGACGCACAAGAUCUCGUCAUUGGUUCACCAUAUGGCGUAGUCUCGCUGGCUGGUCCUUCCCCACUAGAUGCAUUGCCAGGAUUUAAUCAGGAAGCCCCAGAUGCUGGUAUUA